GAAAAAUGGAGACUUUAAGAGGAGGAAACCUCGGGAGGAAACUGGAGGCUGCACGGGAAGUUGUGUGCGGCCGCGGCCGGAGCUUCGAGACGCGUUCGUAUUUGGACGUGUUCGGCGGCCUGGUUGUCCUUCCCGCGGGGGGAAACCAUUACUGCAAUGAAUUUUUUUUUUUUUUUUUUUUUUACAGUUUUAUUCUUUACUUUUUUAAAGCCGCUUCCGUGCCCGCCGCGGGGCCCUAGGCCGCACCCCGGCGCGGCGCUGCUCGCUCUGGGCCGAGCCCCAGGACGCGGCGUCCGCAGUAGGUGGCAGUAGAGGCCUGCGAGUCUGCAAGCGGAGCCCCUCGUUUCCUUGUCGGGGCGGUUAUGCCAGCGUUUAACGUUUUCCCCCCAAAAGCUCACAUUUUUUGUACCUGGGUAGAAAAGUCCGUCCCCUCCCGAGCCGGCCCCUGAAGCCUGUCCCCGUCGCGUGCCGCGGCCGCCGGGCCCUCCGGGGUUGCUCCCUCGACCCCAGAGCCCGGUACUGCCCGGCAGCCCCGAAAUGGCGCCCGCGUCCGCCGCUGGCAGAGCCGAGGGAAGCCAGCCAGGCCGAGGGGUGGCGGGGCCGCCUACGCUUUAGGCGAGGGCGGCGGGUGCCCGCGUCGACGCUCCGAGGAGGGUCGGGCCAGGAGAGGGAAGGGCGAGGCAGGCAGGCGCCGUGGCCCUCGUGGCGCUCGUGGCCCUCGUGGCGCCCCCUCCACGCCCACACGCUGGGAGACUUGCUUCUCGGCGCGGCCUGUGCUGUUCGGGUGGAGGCGCCGGCGCGCGUGGCCCGGGUGAGCCGGGGUGAGCCACGCGGGAAGAGCUCAGGCUCGCCCCCUGGGGUGCAGCAGGCCAAGGGUCGGACCUCCCGCCGCUGAAGGAGGUCGGCGGAGCCCCUGCAGGCGUGCCCGCACCGUGCCAGGCGUGCCCGCACCGUGCCAGGUGUGCCCGCACCGUGCCAGGCUGUUGUGCCCAAGAUUGCGAAUCCGAGACAACCACCAAGGAGCCGACACCGCUGCAA
rnacentral:lncRNA from 12 species